rnacentral:rRNA from 1 species
CCUACGGGAGGCAGCAGUGGGGGAUAUUGCUCAAUGGGGGAAACCCUGAUGCAGCGACGCCGCGUGGGGGAAGAAGGUCCUCGGAGUGUAAAGCCCUUUUUGUAGGGAAGAAAAUGACGGUACCUGAAGAAUAAGCACCGGCUAACUACGUGCCAGCAGCCGCGGUAAUACGUAGGGUGCAAGCGUUAUCCGGAUUCACUGGGCGUAAAGGGGGCGUAGGCGGGGAAGCAAGUCAGUAGUGAAAGCCCAGGGCCCAACCACAGAACUGCAGUUGCAACUGGUUUGCUAGAGUGCGGGAGAGGUAGGCGGAAUUCGUGGUGUAGCGGUGAAAUGCGUAGAGAUCAAGAGGAACACCGAUUGCGAAGGCGGCCUGCUGGAACACAACUGACGUUGAGGCGCGAAAGCGUGGGGAGCAAACAGGAUUAGAUACCCCGGUAGUC